GCUUAAGACCACACCGGCCUGAGUACGCCUGAUCUCGUCUUAUCUCGGAAGCUAAGUAGGAUCGGGCCUGUUUAGUACUUGGAUGGGUGACCGCCUGGGAAUACCAGGUGCUGCAAGCU
ensembl:rRNA 5S_rRNA 5S ribosomal RNA